rnacentral:rRNA from 1 species
GAUGAACGCUGGCGGCGUGCCUAACACAUGCAAGUCGAACGGACAGACGAGGAUCUGGGUCCUCGGACGUUGGCGGCGGAAGGAAGAGUAACACGUGGAUCACCUACCUAUGGGACUAGGAUAGCUUAGGGAAACCGGUACUAAUACGGGAUAAUAUCUUCAACCGCGUGGUUGGAUAGUGUAAGACGGUUUUGCUGGCGCUUAUAGAUGGAUCCGCGGCGUAUCAGCUUGGUCGUAACGUAGUGGCUUACCAAGGCCUCGAUGGGUAGCCGACCGGAGAGAGCGACCGGCCACAUUGGGACUGAGAGACGGCCCAGACUGCGACGGGAGGCAGCAGUGGGGAAUAUUGCACAAUGGGCGGCAGCCUGAUGCAGCAACGCCGCGUGCGGGAUAACGGCCUUCGGGUUGUAAAACGAAUUCAGCAGGGGCGAAGCUUGUGGUGACGGUACCUGCAGAAGAAGCACCGGCUAACUACGUG